rnacentral:rRNA from 1 species
UACGUAGGGGGCAAGCGUUGUCCGGAUUCAUUGGGCGUAAAGAGCGUGUAGGCGGCCAGGUAGGUCGGUUGUGAAAACUGGAGGCUCAACCUUCAGAGGUCGACCGAAACCAUCUGGCUAGAGUCCGGGAGAGGAGAGUGGAAUUCCUGGUGUAGUGGUGAAAUGCGCAGAUAUCAGGAAGAACACCGGUGGCGAAGGCGGGUCUCUGGGCCAUAACUGACACUGAGGGACGAAAGCUAGGGGAGCGAAAGGG